GUGCUUAAUUCGUAGCACCUACACUAAAAUUGGAAAGAUACAGAAAAAAUAGCAUGAAUUCACAAGGAUUUUACACAAACUUGUGAAGCAUUUAAUUUUUAG